CAACCUAACCUAUGGACGGGAAUAACCUCGGGAAACUGAGAAUAAUGCCCGAUAGAACACUAUAUCUGGAAUGGUUUGUGUUCCAAAUGAUUUAUCGCCGUAGGAUGGGACUGCGGCCUAUCAGUUUGUUGGUGAGGUAAUGGCCCACCAAGACUAUUACAGGUACGGGCUCUGAGAGGAGUAGCCCGGAGAUGGGUACUGAGACACGGACCCAGGCCCUAUGGGGCGCAGCAGGCGAGAAAACUUUGCAAUGUGCGAAAGCACGACAAGGUUAAUCCGAGUGGUUUGUGCUAAACGAACCUUUUGUCGGUCCUAGAAACACCGAUGAAUAAGGGGUGGGCAAGUUCUGGUGUCAGCCGCCGCGGUAAAACCAGCACCUCAAGUGGUCAGGAUGAUUAUUGGGCCUAAAGCAUCCGUAGCCGGCGCUAUAAGUUUUCGGUUAAAUCUGUACGCUCAACGUACAGGCUGCCGGGAAUACUGUAGCGCUAGGGAGUGGGAGAGGUAGACGGUACUCGGUAGGAAGGGGUAAAAUCCUUUGAUCUAUUGAUGACCACCUGUGGCGAAGGCGGUCUACCAGAACACGUCCGACGGUGAGGGAUGAAAGCUGGGGGAGCAAACCGGAUUAGAUACCCGGGUAGUCCCAGCUGUAAACUAUGCAAACUCAGUGAUGCAUUGGCUUGUGGCCAAUGCAGUGCUGCAGGGAAGCCGUUAAGUUUGCCGCCUGGGAAGUACGUACGCAAGUAUGAAACUUAAAGGAAUUGGCGGGGGAGCACCACAAGGGGUGAAGCCUGCGGUUCAAUUGGAUUCAACGCCGGG
rnacentral:rRNA from 1 species